rnacentral:rRNA from 3 species
GUGGGUAGUUUGACUGGGGCGGUCUCCUCCUAAAGAGUAACGGAGGAGCACGAAGGUUGGCUAAUCCUGGUCGGACAUCAGGAGGUUAGUGCAAUGGCAUAAGCCAGCUUGACUGCGAGCGUGACGGCGCGAGCAGGUGCGAAAGCAGGUCAUAGUGAUCCGGUGGUUCUGAAUGGAAGGGCCAUCGCUCAACGGAUAAAAGGUACUCCGGGGAUAACAGGCUGAUACCGCCCAAGAGUUCAUAUCGACGGCGGUGUUUGGCACCUCGAUGUCGGCUCAUCACAUCCUGGGGCUGAAGUAGGUCCCAAGGGUAUGGCUGUUCGCCAUUUAAAGUGGUACGCGAGCUGGGUUUAGAACGUCGUGAGACAGUUCGGUCCCUAUCUGCCGUGGGCGCUGGAGAACUGAGGGGGGCUGCUCCUAGUACGAGAGGACCGGAGUGGACGCAUCACUGGUGUUCGGG